rnacentral:rRNA from 1 species
GAAGAGUUUGAUCCUGGCUCAGGAUGAACGCUAGCGGCAGGCCUAACACAUGCAAGUCGAACGGUAAGGACCACUUCGGUGGUUACACGAGUGGCGCACGGGUGAGUAACGCGUAUGCAACCUACCCUUAACAGGGGGAUAGCCCGAAGAAAUUCGGAUUAAUACCCCAUAAUACUAUAAAUAAGCAUUUAUUAAUAGUAAAAACUCCGGUGGUUAAGGAUGGGCAUGCGUACCAUUAGAUAGUUGGUAAGGUAACGGCUUACCAAGUCUACGAUGGUUAGGGGGCCUGAGAGGGUGGUCCCCCACACUGGUACUGAGACACGGAAUAAUAAGUCAGUGGUGAAAUCCUGCAGCUUAACUGUAGAACUGCCAUUGAUACUGUUAUUCUUGAAUAUAGUUGAGGUAGGCGGAAUGUGUAAUGUAGCGGUGAAAUGCAUAGAUAUUACACAGAACACCGAUUGCGUAGGCAGCUUACUAAGCUAUUAUUGACGCUGAGGCACGAAAGCGUGGGGAUCGAACAGGAUUAGAUACCCUGGUAGUCCACGCUGUAAACGAUGAUCACUAGCUGUUGGCGAUACACCGAUCAGCGGCAAAGCGAAAGCAUUAAGUGAUCCACCUGGGGAGUACGGUCGCAAGAUUGAAACUCAAAGGAAUUGACGGGGGCCCGCACAAGCGGAGGAAUAUGUGGUUUAAUUCGAUGAUACGCGAGGAACCUUACCUGGGCUUAAAUGCAGGACGACGAACUGGGAAACCAGUUUUCUCUUCGGAGCGGACUGCAAGGUGCUGCAUGGUUGUCGUCAGCUCGUGCCGUGAGGUGUCGGGUUAAGUCCCAUAACGAGCGCAACCCCUAUCGUUAGUUGCCAGCGGAUCAUGCCGGGGACUCUAACGAAACUGCCGGUGUAAACCGAGAGGAAGGUGGGGAUGACGUCAAAUCAGCACGGCCCUUAUGUCCAGGGCUACACACGUGUUACAAUGGUCGGUACAGAGGGUAGCUACUAUGUAAAUAGAUGCCAAUCUCGAAAACCGGUCUUAGUUCGGAUCGAAGUCUGCAACUCGACUUCGUGAAGCUGGAUUCGCUAGUAAUCGCGCAUCAGCCACGGCGCGGUGAAUACGUUCCCGGGCCUUGUACACACCGCCCGUCAAGCCAUGGAAGCUGGGGGUACCUGAAGUCUGUAACCGCAAGGAGCGGCCUAGGGUAAAACUAGUGACUGGGGCUAAGUCGUAACAAGGUA